rnacentral:rRNA from 1 species
CGAAAGCGUGGGGAGCAAACAGGAUUAGAUACCGUGGUAGUGCACGCCGUAAACGAUGAGUGCUAGGUGUUAGGGGUUUCGAUGCCUCAGUGCCGAAGUUAACACAUUAAGCACUCCGCCUGGGGAGUACGACCGCAAGGUUGAAACUCAAAGGAAUUGACGGGGGCCCGCACAAGCAGUGGAGCAUGUGGUUUAAUUCGAAGCAACGCGAAGAACCUUACCAGGUCUUGACAUCCUUUGACCACUCUAGAGAUAGAGCUUUCCCCUUCGGGGGACAAAGUGACAGGUGGUGCAUGGUUGUCGUCAGCUCGUGUCGUGAGAUGUUGGGUUAAGUCCCGCAACGAGCGCAACCCUUGAUCUUAGUUGCCAGCAUUCAGUUGGGCACUCUAAGGUGACUGCCGGUGACAAACCGGAGGAAGGUGGGGAUGACGUCAAAUCAUCAUGCCCCUUAUGACCUGGGCUACACACGUGCUACAAUGGAUGGUACAAAGGGCUGCAAAACCGCGAGGUUGAGCGAAUCCCAUAAAGCCAUUCUCAGUUCGGAUUGUAGGCUGCAACUCGCCUACAUGAAGCCGGAAUUGCUAGUAAUCGCGGAUCAGCAUGCCGCGGUGAAUACGUUCCCGGGCCUUGUACACACCGCCCGUCACACCACGAGAGUUUGUAACACCCGAAGUCGGUGAGGUAACCUUUUGGAGCCAGCCGCCUAAGGUGGGACAGAUGAUUGGGGUGAA